AUUGAACGCUGGCGGCAGGCCUAACACAUGCAAGUCGGACGGUAGCACAGAGGAGCUUGCUCCUCGGGUGACGAGUGGCGGACGGGUGAGUAAUGUCUGGGGAUCUGCCCGAUAGAGGGGGAUAACCACUGGAAACGGUGGCUAAUACCGCAUAACGUCGCAAGACCAAAGAGGGGGACCUUCGGGCCUCUCACUAUCGGAUGAACCCAGAUGGGAUUAGCUAGUAGGCGGGGUAACGGCCCACCUAGGUGACGAUCCCUAGCUGGUCUGGGAGGAUGGCCAGCCACACUGGAACUGAGACACGGUCCAGACGCCUACGGGAGGCAGCAGUGGGGAAUAUUGCACAAUGGGCGCAAGCCUGAUGCAGCCGUGCCGCGUGUAUGAAGAAGGCCUUCGGGUUGUAAAGUACUUUCAGCGGGGAGGAAGGCGAUGUGGUUAAUAACCGCAUUGAUUGACGUUACCCGCAGAAGAAGCACCGGCUAACUCCGUGCCAGCAGCCGCCGCCG
rnacentral:rRNA from 1 species